UUCCCUGCAGUCCAGUGGUUAGGACUUGGCACUGUCACUGCCGGGGCCCAGGUUCGAUCCCUGGUCAGGGGAG
rnacentral:tRNA from 1 species